UGGGGAAUAUUGGACAAUGGGCGAAAGCCUGAUCCAGCCAUGCCGCGUGUGUGAAGAAGGUCUUCGGAUUUUAAAGCACUUUAAGUUGGGAGGAAGGGCAGUAAGCGAAUACCUUGCUGUUUUGACGUUACCGACAGAAUAAGCACCGGCUAACUCUGUGCCAGCAGCCGCUGUAAUACAGAGGGUGCAAGCGUUAAUCGGAAUUACUGGGCGUAAAGCGCGCGUAGGUGGUUCGUUAAGUUGAAUGUGAAAGCCCCGGGCUCAACCUGGGAACUGCAUCCAAAACUGGCGAGCUAGAGUAGGGCAGAGGGUGGUGGAAUUUCCUGUGUAGCGGUGAAAUGCGUAGAUAUAGGAAGGAACACCAGUGGCGAAGGCGACCACCUGGGCUCAUACUGACACUGAGGUGCGAAAGCGUGGGGAGCAAACAGG
rnacentral:rRNA from 1 species